UACGUAGGGGGCAAGCGUUGUCCGGAAUCAUUGGGCGUAAAGAGCUCGUAGGCGGCUUGUCGCGUCGGCUGUGAAAACCCGUGGCUCAACCAUGUGGUCUGCAGUCGAUACGGGCAGGCUAGAAUUCGGUAGGGGAGACUGGAAUUCCUGGUGUAGCGGUGAAAUGCGCAGAUAUCAGGAGGAACACCGGUGGCGAAGGCGGGUCUCUGGGCCGAUAUUGACGCUGAGGAGCGAAAGCGUGGGGAGCGAACAGG
rnacentral:rRNA from 1 species